GGCAGCGACCUUGGUUGACUACUACAUCAACGUUGUUCCGCUUGUGGCUUGGGUUUGGUAAAAGGAAUCGAACUUUUUUAGCGCUUUACUUUGGACAGUGCUUCUUAUCUGCCUAGGCAGUGUCACAACGUGCUUCUACAUUCUUUUGCAAUUUCUCAAGCUCUCACCUCAGGAGUCUUCACAAGAUAUGUUCUGCUACAGCAUUCUAGCAAGUAUGUUUGCACUCCAUUUUAUUAUAUCAUUGUUGUUUCUACGGGA